rnacentral:rRNA from 1 species
UACGAAGGGGGCUAGCGUUGUUCGGAAUUACUGGGCGUAAAGGGCGCGUAGGCGGAUUGUACAGUCAGGCGUGAAAUUCCCGGGCUCAACCUGGGGGCUGCGCUUGAGACGUGCGAUCUUGAGUGGGGAAGAGGGUCGUGGAAUUCCCAGUGUAGAGGUGAAAUUCGUAGAUAUUGGGAAGAACACCGGUGGCGAAGGCGGCGACCUGGUCCUUGACUGACGCUGAGGCGCGAAAGCGUGGGGAGCAAACAGG